rnacentral:rRNA from 1 species
AGUGAACGCUGGCGGUAGGCCUAACACAUGCCAGUCGAACGGCAGCACAGUAAGAGCUUGCUCUUACGGGUGGCGAGUGGCGGACGGGUGAGGAAUACAUCGGAAUCUACUUUUUCGUGGGGGAUAACGUAUGGAAACUUACGCUAAUACCGCAUACGACCUACGGGUGAAAGCAGGGGAUCUUCGGACCUUGCGCGAUUGAAUGAGCCGAUGUCGGAUUAGCUAGUUGGCGGGGUAAAGGCCCACCAAGGCGACGAUCCGUAGCUGGUCUGAGAGGAUGAUCAGCCACACUGGAACUGAGACACGGUCCAGACUCCUACGGGAGGCAGCAGUGAGGAAUAUUGGACAAUGGGCGCAAGCCUGAUCCAGCCAUACCGCGUGGGUGAAGAAGGCCUUCGGGUUGUAAAGCCCUUUUGUUGGGAAAGAAAAGCAGCAGGUUAAUACCCCGCUGUUCUGACGGUACCCAAAGAAUAAGCACCGGCUAACUUCGUG